rnacentral:rRNA from 1 species
UACAGAGGUGGCAAGCGUUGUUCGGAUUUACUGGGCGUAAAGAGCGCGCAGGCGGUCGUUCAAGUCGCGUGUGAAAGCCCCCGGCUCAACUGGGGAGGGUCACGCGAUACUGAUCGACUCGAAGGCAGGAGAGGGUAGUGGAAUUCCCGGUGUAGUGGUGAAAUGCGUAGAUAUCGAGAGGAACACCUGCGGCGAAGGCGGGUUGCUGGGCUGACACUGACGCUGACAGCGCGAAAGCUAGGGGAGCGAACGGG